AGUGAACGCUGGCGGUAGGCCUAACACAUGCAAGUCGAACGGCAGCACAGUAAGAGCUUGCCCUUACGGGUGGCGAGUGGCGGACGGGUGAGGAAUACAUCGGAAUCUACUUUUUCGUGGGGGAUAACGUAGGGAAACUUACGCUAAUACCGCAUACGACCUACGGGUGAAAGCAGGGGAUCUUCGGACCUUGCGCGAUUCAAUGAGCCGAUGUCGGAUUAGCUAGUUGGCGGGGUAAAGGCCCACCAAGGCGACGAUCCGUAGCUGGUCUGAGAGGAUGAUCAGCCACACUGGAACUGAGACACGGUCCAGACUCCUACGGGAGGCAGCAGUGGGGAAUAUUGGACAAUGGGCGCAAGCCUGAUCCAGCCAUACCGCGUGAGUGAAGAAGGCCUUCGGGUUGUAAAGCCCUUUUGUUGGGAAAGAAAAGCAGCAGGUUAAUACCCCGCUGUUCUGACGGUACCCAAAGAAUAAGCACCGGCUAACUUCGUG
rnacentral:rRNA from 1 species